rnacentral:lncRNA from 1 species
AUUAAAUGUCAUGUGAGCUUGUGACUCAACUUGGUGUCUGUGGUAAUCCAUUACUUCUCCGAUUCAGAAUUACCAAAAAACUAUUAUAAGAAAAUAAAAAUAAAGAUUCAAGAUUUCUCCAAAUUUCCACUAAACAUGUCCUCAUUUAGUAGGACUCUAUCAUGUGUGUCCCCACUUGAUGGUACUUGGACAAUCAUAUGUGUGUCC